GUUGAAAAGGAUGUGGAAAUCGUUCAUCAGUGGAUUUUUAAGGUUGGAGUUAACGAAAGUUUGGGAGGCAUCUGAUAAUGGCACGGAACUUUUUUGUGAAAGAAUAUUCAAACUGAAAAACGAAAGAGUCGCGAGAAUACAGAGGACCGAAAGUUAUAGACUUAUAUAUCGUUUGGAUGAGUGCUGGGCGUGGGAGGGCUGGAUGUGGGCGGCAGUGGCAAUGGUGAUUGCAUACGUCCCAGAGGUCGCUGCAAUCGCGAUUGCAGCGACAUAUUGCUAUUACGCCAGACAACACUCCUCUAACUGAUGCUUACAUGGUACUUCUACAGACGACUUAAGCUGUUCAAAUAAUAAUCGAUUUUGUUAUAACUGGUAUAAUGAAAGCUCCUAAAAUAAUCAAGCACAUAAUAAAAUACAAAAAAAAAUGGGUUAUGGACAUAAGCAAAUUAUUUUAAUCAUUUAAUUGGCAAGGAAACAUUUUUAUGAAACUAUGAAUAACGAUUCCCAAUCGAAUGCUAUAAUGUAUUCAUUUUAUCUCUCUGUCUCUUUUGCAUCUUUUUUUUUAUUAUGAAUGGGCUUACUCAUGGCCACAGCCAUCUCUACUUAUGUUUCAGAUCAGCAUAAUUAUUAAUGCACCGAAGCGAUACAGCGAAGUAUAAAUUAUCGGCCGAUCGUAAGAUCAGGCAUAUCGUGAAAUUCCUAGGCAUUUCGUGAAACGUGAAAAUCUUUGACUCGUUCCCUGAGUCGACGGAGCCCCCCCGCUACGCGGAGCUCCUAUUUCUGGGCAGUUUGCCCUUCGGGCAUCUGAAGCAACCUAACGAACCUAUCCUACCUAAGGCAUAUAUUGGUUUAAUGUGACUAUCGUCAAAACAGUACACAGGAACAUUACGAUCUGCCUGAUCUUACGAUCGGCCGCCGACAUUGUAAAUACAUGACAUAUGACUGAUAUGACUAAAUAAAAUACAACGAAGUGUGGGGUGGGGGUGUCAUUUUAAAUUUAUGAUGAAAAACCUCCCACACCUUUGUCAUUAAAUUCCAUGUAAAGUUAGCUUGGUUUGAGUAUAAUAAAUUACCAUGAAUACCGAGAUAUAAAAGGUUCCAAUGUAAGUUUAUUUUCAAGGUCAACAUUCCUAAACUCCUCAUUCCACAACAUUCACUAAUAAUUAAUAAUUAAUUAUUAUUAAUUAAUUAUUUAGAUAUAAAAUAAAUACAUUAUAACAUUCGAUUUGUAAUCUAGUAGUAGUUUAAGUUAUAUGAUAAUGAA